UACGGGGGGGGCAAGCGUUGUUCGGAAUUACUGGGCGUAAAGGGCUCGUAGGCGGCCAACUAAGUCCGACGUGAAAUCCCUAGGCUCAACCUAGGAACUGCGUCGGAUACUGGAUGGCUUGAAUCCGGGAGAGGGAUGCAGAAUUCCAGGUGUAGCGGUGAAAUGCGUAGAUAUCUGGAGGAAUACCGGUGGCGAAGGCGGCAUCCUGGACCGGCAUUGACGCUGAGGAGCGAAAGCCAGGGGAGCAAACGGG
rnacentral:rRNA from 1 species